rnacentral:rRNA from 1 species
UACAGAGGGGGCGAGCGUUGUUCGGAAUUACUGGGCGUAAAGGGCGCGUAGGCGGCCUGCUAAGUCGGACGUGAAAUCCCUCGGCUCAACCGGGGAACUGCGUCCGAUACUGGUUGGCUUGAAUUCGGGAGAGGGAUGCGGAAUUCCAGGUGUAGCGGUGAAAUGCGUAGAUAUCUGGAGGAACACCGGUGGCGAAGGCGGCAUCCUGGACCGAGAUUGACGCUGAGGCGACGAAAGCUAGGGGAGCAAACGGG